GCCUUUUAACUGCUGCCAUUACCUUUCAUCGUUCAACCGCUUUCGAUUGAAUUCCUUGAGUCGUGGAACGUGAUAGGGCUGCUUUAACAACUGCCUUGAUAACUGCAUUUCUUGAUAACCACGACGCGUUAUGUCUGUUGAUACCUUGGGCGACUUGAAGGUUUGGGCGAGAAUAGAAUAACAGCUCUGGGCGACCGUAUAACACUCUAUUCGUUCAGAUUCUGGGCGACUUGCAAACUUGGGCGAUGGCGUUACAGCAUUCUUGGGCCCCCUUAUUUGGGCUUUCACCUUAAUUUGUUCGAUUGGACUUCGUUCUUUGGGCUAUCUGAUUUGGGGAUCC
rnacentral:lncRNA from 1 species